CAACUCUCUCCCAAAUAGCCUUCCUCAUUAACAAAGAUUACGAGGAGAAGACAAACCACCAUCGACGGCAAUGAUGGCGUCACCAUUGGAAAAUCUCCUUAAGGUUAAUAUUCAUCUUGCUAAUAUGCUAGGGUUUCUCAAAAUGGUGUUCGAGUUCAUUGGUAGAGAAUCAAAUCUGUUCAUGUGGUGAAAGAUAAGUUGAAAACUAAUCGAAGAGCCAUCGUCUUUGUUGUUCAACUUAUUAAUUUUUUCUUCCUUAAAAUUGUCGCACGAUUUUCGCCUUUGAAGCAGAAAAGUAGCAGCUUUCGCGGUCUUCUUGUCAAGGGAUCAAUGCGAUAUCUGAGCUCGUAAACAUCGGAUCUUUUUAAUAUUUAUCAGCGACAAGUAGGAGGUUGUUGCUAUAACCACUGCUAACCAAGAGGAGAUAUUUUCCGAGAUGAGAAUUGGAGAUUGAAGAAGUUCUAAAUUCAUUUCUUAGGAAGCAGGCUAUAUUCUUUUCUUGAGGUAUGUUCUGUAUAAAGCUUUUCUUGAUUACCAUAUUCAUUGCAUUCUUUUAUCUUGUCAAGCUUACAUUGUUCUCAAUUUGAAGUGUUAUCUAAUUUGCAAUUUCAUUAAUAUUUGUCAUGCUAUCAUAUGAAAGACGUCUAUUUAUUUGCUUUUAUUUCUUUCUUCUUGGAGCUCAUGUGUAUCUAAUUUUGAACACAGGAAAGCAGAUCAAGAAUUUGAACUUGAAAGCGAUGAAAUAAUUUAGUGUUAAGAGUUUGCUAAUUACUGGUACUAGUGUCAAAAGUUUUCUAAUUUAGAGAGGGUGCAACUUGUCUGCAGAAUAUUAAAACCAUUCGUGCCUUUAUUCCAAGAGGUUGUAUUUUUGAAAAAUAUUGUUUGAACAGCUGUUGGUGGUUCUUUUACCCGAUUGCUCGGUAUUUUGCUACUAUGAAGUUUCUUGACAUAAGGAAGGUGUUCGUGGAAUUGCUACGCAUCUUUCUUUCAAGUGUUUCUGAAUCUUCUUCUCAUAUCCUACUUCAUAAGCGAAUGAAUGUAUAUCCACGACUUAAUGCAUAUUUCCAAGUUGAUGGUAGCACAAUUUUUGCGCUAAAUAAUCAAGUAUUUUUUGAAUAUGGGUUCUUGUAUACAAUCUAAAACUACAGGGAUGUGUUUGUCGUCCUUCUUUAGAAUACUGCCAUCAAUUUUUCUGUAUGUAGUAAUCUUCUAACUAUUUGCUCUCAAUAGAUAAAUGAGUAUAUAUGUCUCAUUGUUGUAGUAUACGUGAGGGAGAUGUCAUCAACUCCCCUGGAUGGAUUCUUUCUCUUGUUGUUUUAGCUUAGAUGUUCUCCUCUUACUAAUGCUACCAAGUUUAGUUACAGCAUGUACUGGAACAUAGGAUGCCAGAGGAGCGUUCGUCUAUAAUUAGUAAGCUGAUGGGAUAGAUAGUCCAGAUGAGCCAGCAAAAGUUUGCCUCCAAUUUUGUGGAGAAGUGAUUAAGCUUCGCAACUCCCAAAGAAUGUCAGACCUUGGUAGACGAGAUGCUUGGCACAAAUGAUGAAAAUUAACCUCUUCGGAUGGAGCAACUGAAGAAAGGGGAGAUGGAGAUAGUGAAGAUCUAGACUUUAAGAAGAACUUUGAAUUGUUGUCGAUGUUCUAGGAGUCUUUUGUUAUCAACAUUUGAAAAUUUAACUUUUGAAGUGUUGAACUGUAAAACGUAUGUGAUUGGGUUAAAAUAUUUUGCUAUUAUGGUUAUUAUUAGCUUAUUGGACAAUA